CUCAGCCAACUACUCUCUGGAAGAAGAGGUACCAAUGUUGCCUGUCAGGGUGGCACAGGCAACAAAACUCACACACCCAGACACCGCACCGGUGACAAUCGAGGUGCUGAAAAGCCUCCUGGCAGACCUCCAAACGACUAUACAUUCGGACGUGGCCAACCUCCGCACAUACAAGGGAUAACGGGCCUGCUGGGCACCCUGGAGACAACCUCUG